rnacentral:rRNA from 1 species
AACGAACGCUGGCGGCAGGCCUAACACAUGCAAGUCGAGCGAGAUCUUCGGAUCUAGCGGCGGACGGGUGAGUAACGCGUGGGAACGUGCCCUUCUCUACGGAAUAGCCUCGGGAAACUGGGAGUAAUACCGUAUACGCCCUUUGGGGGAAAGAUUUAUCGGAGAAGGAUCGGCCCGCGUUGGAUUAGGUAGUUGGUGGGGUAAUGGCCUACCAAGCCUACGAUCCAUAGCUGGUUUGAGAGGAUGAUCAGCCACACUGGGACUGAGACACGGCCCAGACUCCUACGGGAGGCAGCAGUGGGGAAUCUUAGACAAUGGGGGCAACCCUGAUCUAGCCAUGCCGCGUGAGUGAUGAAGGCCUUAGGGUUGUAAAGCUCUUUCAGCUGGGAAGAUAAUGACGGUACCAGCAGAAGAAGCCCCGGCUAACUCCGUGCCAGCAGCCGCGGUAAU